rnacentral:rRNA from 1 species
AGGACGAACGCUGGCGGCGUGCUUAACACAUGCAAGUCGAGCGGUAAGGCCUUUCGGGGUACACGAGCGGCGAACGGGUGAGUAACACGUGGGUGAUCUGCCCUGCACUUCGGGAUAAGCCUGGGAAACUGGGUCUAAUACCGGAUAUGACCUCCUAUCGCAUGGUGGGUGGUGGAAAGAUUUAUCGGUGCAGGAUGGGCCCGCGGCCUAUCAGCUUGUUGGUGGGGUAAUGGCCUACCAAGGCGACGACGGGUAGCCGACCUGAGAGGGUGACCGGCCACACUGGGACUGAGACACGGCCCAGACUCCUACGGGAGGCAGCAGUGGGGAAUAUGCACAAUGGGCGAAAGCCUGAUGCAGCGACGCGCGUGAGGAUGACGGCCUUCGGGUGUAAACCUCUUUCAGCAGGACGAAGCGCAAGUGACGUACCUGCAGAGAAGCACGCUAACACGUGCCAGCACGCCGAC